rnacentral:rRNA from 1 species
GACGAACGCUGGCGGCGUGCUUAACACAUGCAAGUCGAACGGGGAUUAUUGAGCGGAAGGCUUCGGCCGGAAGGUUGGUAAUUCGAGUGGCGGACGGGUGAGUAACGCGUGAGCAACCUGUCCCAGACAGGGGGAUAACACUUGGAAACAGGUGCUAAUACCGCAUAAGACCACGGGGUCACAUGGCCCAGGGUAAAGGAGCAAUCCGGUUUGGGUGGGCUCGCGUCCGAUUAGCCAGUUGGUGAGGUAACGGCCCACCAAAGCGACGAUCGGUAGCCGACCUGAGAGGGUGAUCGGCCACAUUGGAACUGAGAGACGGUCCAA